UAAUACGGGGGGAGCAAGCGUUGUUCGGAUUUACUGGGCGUAAAGGGCGCGUAGGCGGUCAGCACAAGUCAGUUGUGAAAUCUCCGGGCUUAACUCGGAAAGGUCAACUGAUACUGUGCGACUAGAGUGCGGAAGGGGCAACUGGAAUUCUCGGUGUAGCGGUGAAAUGCGUAGAUAUCGAGAGGAACACCUGCGGCGAAGGCGGGUUGCUGGGCCGACACUGACGCUGAUGCGCGAAAGCCAGGGGAGCGAACGGGAUUAGAUACCCCGGUAGUCCUGGCCUUAAACGAUGGAUGCUUGGUGUCUGGAGUUUUAUAGUCUCCGGGUGCCGUAGCUAACGCGUUAAGCAUCCCGCCUGGGGAGUACGGUCGCAAGACUG
rnacentral:rRNA from 1 species